UCUCUUUUUCUUGGAGUUAACCUUUUCUUUUGUUGCUUUUUAUUGACCGAAAUUGGUCCAUUGUAUUGUUAUUGCUUGAAGGUCUUUCCUCUGCUCUUUUGGUGUGCUUUUGAGGUUUAAUUGUUUUGGGUGGGAAAAAUUGUGUUACAAGCUCAUGAUUAAUAGAUAACAAGAUUGUUCUCUUGUAUUUCCCUCCUUCCCACCAUUUGUGUUACUCGAUCUAUUGUUCUGCUUCUUUGUUUAGCUGACUGAGCUCUUUUUGCUUAUUUUUCACUGAAAUUGUGCCUCCCGUUAUUAUCUUGUUUAAAGCAUUACUGAAUGUUUUGAACUCUGAUUUGAUAACUCACUGGUGAUAUGGAACAUUGAAUGGAGAUUUGUAGGAGAUUUUUGGCCCAACACAUACUCGUAUGUUGACAGGGCUUUACACAUAUGGUGUCUUUUUAUCCUUAUGUUUGCACCAAUAAUGUGGCUUACAUGUUCUUCAUGCGAUCUAAGAACUAGAUCAGUUUCAUAUCAUCUCCAACAUGGCAAUCAUGAUUGUCAUGCAGAACAGCUUUACAAGCUGAUUCAUUACAUUCAAUGCUACUGUGCCUUUUCCUUGUCUUCUUUUUUUCAAGGAAAUUGCUUCUUAGUACUAUGACUUUAUCUAUAAUCAUAUGUUUACAUGUGUUCUCUUAUGUUUAUUGAUCACUUCAAUUGGACUCUAUCAUCUAGGUACCCAUCAUACUGUCGACCAAAUAUAUGGCCUUCCAUUUCUUUGCCUGAGCUUGAACAAGGUACAUGGGCAUCUCUCCUCUGAAUCCAUAUAUGUGAAUAAUACUGGAGAAGGUUCUUCAGUCUGUUGGGUAAAUUGUAUAUUAUCAUCUUCAUGAGAUUCCUAAGAGGAAGUUAUAUCCAUCACUGUGAGAACUUUGAGAAUAUGGUCCCUUCCAAUUCUUAUUUGAAAUGCUUCUGAAAUGUUGAGUGAUUCAUGUUGGUAGAAUUAAUUGGGUGAUUCUCAUAAUAAAUUUUCCUGUAAUUUCUUUCUCUAAUUAUUUUAACUAUUCUUUUAUAGAUCCAAGAUUCUUCACGCUUAUUCUCUGAUUCAAAUUCUAGCAUCCAUCACUCAAGUUCUUGACCCAAAGAUUCAUCAACACCUAGCUUCUUUUUUUCAGUCAAAGUUUGUUCUGUUAUGACAGUAUGCGGUUUUCUUGUCAAAGUUUGUUCUACUUGAUGGAUGUUUCCUCCUUCAAAUGUUUAAUGAGGAUCUGCAAGCGGAGGAGCUCAGAUCGCUUUUCGACGAUAAUGUGUGCCUCAAAUGUCAUAUUCUUGUAGACCUGAUGUUGCUAGAAAAUCAACUUCCGUAUUUCAUUGUCCAGCAUCUCCUCGAAACACUGGGGAUGCCAGAGUGGGAUAGCUCCCGCCUUCUGAAUGCUGCCAUCGAUGCGUUCGAUGACUUUCUGCCAUCGUUCUGGAGAGGUCCACAGCCAGAGCUGCCCGCCGAAGGCUUCGAUGUGGAUCAUUUACUCCACUUGAUCCAUCGAUGGAUCCGGCGAUUCCCAAAAUCAGAGGUGACCAACACAGCAAGCUACAGUAAACGAUCAAGGACUACUUAUUCUGCUUUAUCCCUAAUAAUCGACAAGACUGGGGAUUGGCUCUCCAAGGUGUUGCCGCGCCGUACCAAUUCUUCGAGUUCAGAGGAGACACGAGAUGGAUGUCACUGAAUAUACCAAGUUUCUGGAUGCCAUCAUCAACACCUCAAGAGAUGUGGAGUUGCUUCACCGGGAAGGGAUCAUUCAACCGCAUAUUGGAGAUGACCAGGACAUUGCAUAGUGGAAGUACAUUGCAAAUGUAAAUUGACAGUAUGAAUGUAAUUUGACAAUAUGAAUGUAAUUU